rnacentral:rRNA from 1 species
UACAGAGGGUGCGAGCGUUGUCCGGAAUCACUGGGCGUAAAGGGCGCGUAGGUGGCCCGACAAGUCAAUGGUGAAAGCUCGACGCUCAACGUCGAGUCGGCCACUGAUACUGUUGGGCUGGAGCACUGUAGAGGCUCAUGGAAUUCCGGGUGUAGCAGUGGAAUGCGUAGAGAUCCGGAAGAACACCGGUGGCGAAGGCGGUGAGCUGGGCAGUAGCUGACACUGAGGCGCGACAGCGUGGGGAGCAAACAGG